UCUUGGAUUUGAUGCCAAGAUUCUAUCAUCCCCUUGUUGCAAAAAAAAAAACGUUAUAACGGGUCGAUUGGAUCGUAAAACAUUGGCCGGCCAACCUUUUCCAGCAAGAAAAAAACAAAAACAAAAAAUGUUGAUAGAAGACCUUAAUCGUCUACUCCUUAUACACAAAGGCCAAGGUAUGCAAGAGAAAUCCAUCAGGGAGAGAGGGGGGGGGAUGUAUCGAUAGCGAAAACCAUAUGCCAUUUCGCAUUUUUCCAGCCUGUUUUCUAAUCCUAAAGGUGAUGGUGCAAGACGGCCGGCGCCAGCCACCGUGACCCUGAUGACUACUACUAUUACAACUGCUACUAUCAGCUGAGCAUGUGUGUUUUGGGGCGCAGGCGAAAAUGCCAAGCCACGGAGAAUCAAGAAGAAGAAAAAAAAAAAAAAAAAAAAAAACUUUCUCUCUGACUAGCCUGUCCUAUGACGAUGAUUGCGUCUAUAUUUAUCUAUGCAACGAGGAUAGCGAAAUACGUCCGGUCACAUCCGCUUCUUCAGCCCAAUAUUUUUUGAAGUGGGAAAGGGGAAGCGACGACUGCAGGCCACGCCGGAAAAAAAUUAAGGAAGAAAAUCCGAAAAUG